AGUGAACGCUGGCGGUAGGCCUAACACAUGCAAGUCGAACGGCAGCACAGUAAGAGCUUGCUCUUACGGGUGGCGAGUGGCGGACGGGUGAGGAAUACAUCGAAAUCUACUUUUUCGCGGGGGAUAACGUAGGGAAACUUACGCUAAUACCGCAUACGACCUACGGGUGAAAGCAGGGGAUCUUCGGACCUUGCGCGAUUGAAUGAGCCGAUGUCGGAUUAGCUAGUUGGCGGGGUAAAGGCCCACCAAGGCGACGAUCCGUAGCUGGUCUGAGAGGAUGAUCAGCCACACUGGAACUGAGACACGGUCCAGACUCCUACGGGAGGCAGCAGUGGGGAAUAUUGGACAAUGGGCGCAAGCCUGAUCCAGCCAUACCGCGUGGGUGAAGAAGGCCUUCGGGUUGUAAAGCCCUUUUGUUGGGAAAGAAGGGCAGCAGGUUAAUACCCCGCUGUUCUGACGGUACCCAAAGAAUAAGCACCGGCUAACUUCGUG
rnacentral:rRNA from 1 species